UACGAAGGGGGCUAGUGUUGCUCGGAAUCACUGGGCGUAAAGCGCACGUAGGCGGAUUUUUAAGUCAGGGGUGAAAUCCUGGAGCUCAACUCCAGAACUGCCUUUGAUACUGGGAAUCUCGAGUCCGGAAGAGGUGAGUGGAACUGCGAGUGUAGAGGUGAAAUUCGUAGAUAUCAGGAGGAACACCGGUGGCGAAGGCGGGUCUCUGGGCCGUAACUGACGCUGAGGAGCGAAAGCGUGGGGAGCGAACAGG
rnacentral:rRNA from 1 species